AUACGAAUAUGGGACACAAUUGAAGCUCCGUAAUUCGUAUGAGUACAAUUUAAAUCCUUUCAAGAGGACCGAUUGGAGGGCAAGUCUGAUGCCAGCAGCCGCGGUAACUUGCAAUAA
rfam:Schistosoma margrebowiei strain Zambia genome assembly, scaffold: SMRZ_scaffold0004324